ensembl:lncRNA
CGUCGCUUGACAUUGAGCGCCAUCAAGUGACGUCACUGUGUAAAACACCUCAAUAUUCGUUUAUGAAGACAAAUCACUUCAUAACCUAUAUCUGGCGUUGUGGCAUACACAUCUCUCUCCAUUUUGUUUGUUUGACUACAUAGGAAGUGAUAAAUAACAGGUUAAACGUGGCCCGUCAUAUCCCUUAGAAGCUCAUCAGAGAGUUCCUGACCCUUCAGGGGCAGGCAGCACUGUCAACCUACAUCACUGUCAAUCACAUGAGGGGAUGGAUCAUCUUCAAUGUUGAGAAAGCCUUCCUGAAGAAAUUUCAGGAAGAGAGAGGGGAGAAAACCCUGCCUCGUUAAGCUGACAGACAUUGAAGGUGAGGAGUCGGCACAGGCUCGUUAACAUCAAGCAGGAUGUUUGGAGAGAGCUCAAUGAGGAACGAUGCCCGUCUCUCCGGUCUACUGGAAAGGAAUGACCAGCUUAUCUUAUCCCUGUUUGUGACUAUGUUCAGUGUAAUACUGUCGUAAUAGAGGCAUGCUGUGUGUUUCAUAAGAAAUACAUGCAGUGCAUUCAGAAAGUAUUCAUACCCCUUGACUUAUUCCACA